GGGCACCAGCAGGGCCAGGGGCCUGUGGGUUUGGAGUGAGGGGCAAUGUCAUGGGCAAGGCACUGACAUAUCAGGGCUUCUCAGUGCCACAAAGUAGCGGCAAUCACAGCUUGACC